rnacentral:tRNA from 1 species
UCCGGGGUCGUCUAAUGGUAGGACAACAGUUUUUGGAACUGUAUAUUUAGGUUCGAGUCCUAACCCCGGAA